rnacentral:tRNA from 1 species
AGUUAAUGAGCUUGUAUAAGUUUAUAUUUUGAAAAUAUAAGAAAGAAAUAUUCAAUUUUCUAUUAACUU